UACGUAGGGGGCAAGCGUUGUCCGGAAUCAUUGGGCGUAAAGCGCGCGUAGGCGGCCCGGUAAGUCCGCUCUGAAAGUCCAGGGCUCAACCCUGGAAAGCGGGUGGAUACUGCCGGGCUAGAAUCCGGAAGAGGCGAGUGGAAUUCCUGGUGUAGCGGUGGAAUGCGCAGAUAUCAGGAAGAACACCGGUGGCGAAGGCGGGUCUCUGGGCCGUAACUGACGCUGAGGAGCGAAAGCAUGGGGAGCGAACAGG
rnacentral:rRNA from 1 species